UACGGAAGGCAGCAGUGGGGAAUAUUGCACAAUGGGCGCAAGCCUGAUGCAGCCAUGCCGCGUGUAUGAAGAAGGCCUUCGGGUUGUAAAGUACUUUCAGUCGUGAGGAAGGUGUUAAGGUUAAUAACCUUAGCAAUUGACGUUAGCGACAGAAGAAGCACCGGCUAACUCCGUGCCAGCAGCCGCGGUAAUACGGAGGGUGCGAGCGUUAAUCGGAAUUACUGGGCGUAAAGGGCACGCAGGCGGUUAAUUAAGUUGGAUGUGAAAUCCCCGGGCUUAACCUGGGAAUGGCAUUCAAGACUGGUUAGCUAGAGUCUUGUAGAGGGGGUAGAAUUCCAUGUGUAGCGGUGAAAUGCGUAGAGAUGUGGAGGAAUACCGGUGGCGAAGGCGGCCCCUGGGACAAAGACUGACGCUCAUGUGCGAAAGCGUGGGGAGCAAACAGGAUUAGAUGCC
rnacentral:rRNA from 1 species